rnacentral:rRNA from 1 species
UACGUAGGUGGCAAGCGUUGUCCGGAAUUAUUGGGCGUAAAGCGCGCGCAGGCGGCCUUUUAAGUCUGAUGUGAAAGCCCACGGCUCAACCGUGGAAGGUCAUUGGAAACUGAAAGGCUUGAGUACAGAAGAGGAAAGCGGAAUUCCACGUGUAGCGGUGAAAUGCGUAGAGAUGUGGAGGAACACCAGUGGCGAAGGCGGCUUUCUGGUCUGUAACUGACGCUGAGGCGCGAAAAGCGUGGGGGAGCAAACAGG